rnacentral:lncRNA from 1 species
GUAAGUAUUAGGGUUCCUUUAGGGUUUAGGUUAGGGUUUGUGUUAGGGAUAGGGUUAGGGUUAGAGUUAGGGUUUUUGAUAGAUUUAGCAUUAGGGUUAAUGUUAUUGUUAGUUUUACGAUUAGGGUUAGGGGUAGUGUUAGGGUGAGAAUUAGGGUUAGGUUUAGAAUUAGGGUUAGCGUUUGGGUUAGGGUUCGUGUUAUGGUUAGGGUUAGGGUUAGUGUUAGGGUUAGGGUUAGGGAUAGGUUUAUUAUUAGUGUUAGGUUUAAAAUUAGGGUUAGUGUUAGGAUUAGGGUUAGCAUUAGGGGUAGUGUUAGGGUGAGAAUUAGGGUUAGGUUAGGGUUAGUGUUCGUGUUAGGUUUAGGGUUAGGGAUAUGUUUAGGAUUAGUGUUAGGGUUAAAAUUGGAGUUAGUGUUAUGCUUAGGGUUAGGGUUAAGUUUAAGUUUAGUGUUAGGUUUAGGGCAGGUUUAGGGUUAGUGUUAGGGUAAGGGUUAGGGUUAGGGUUAGGUAAGAGUUAGAGUUAAGAUUAGGCUAGAUUUAGGGUUGUGGCUUGGGUUAUGAUUUGUGUUAAGGUUAGGGUUAGGGUUAGGUUUUCUGUUAGGUUUAGGGAUAGGUUAUGGGUUUGUGUAAGGAUAACUGUUAGAGUUAGUGUUAGGUUUGAUGUUAGGGUUAGGGCUAGGUUUAGUGUUAGGGUUAGGUGUAAGUUUUUAGUUAGGGUUAGGGUUAGAGUUAGGAUUAGUGUUGUGCUUAGGGUUAGAGUUAGGUUUAGGGUUUGUGUUAGGGUUAGGUUUAGAGAUAGUGUUAGGAAUAGGGUUAGGGUGAGGGUGAGGUUUAGAGUAAGGAUUAGGGUUAGUGUUAG